GACGAACGCUGGCGGCGUGCUUAACACAUGCAAGUCGAACGAGAAUCUUAUCAGUGGAAACUUCGGUGGAAACAGAUAGGAGGAAAGUGGCGAACGGGUGAGUAACGCGUGAGCAACCUGCCUUACACAAAGGGAUAGCCUCGGGAAACCGGGAUUAAUACCGUAUGAGACCCCGUUGGCGAGUGCCAAAGAGGUUAAAGAUUUAUCGGUGUAAGAUGGGCUCGCGUCUGAUUAGCUAGUUGGUGGGAUAAAAGCCUACCAAGGCGACGAUCAGUAACCGGCUUGAGAGAGUGAACGGUCACAUUGGAACUGAGACACGGUCCAAACUCCUACGGGAGGCAGCAGUGGGGAAUAUUGCACAAUGGGGGAAACCCUGAUGCAGCGACGCCGCGUGAGCGAAGAAGGUUUUCGAAUCGUAAAGCUCUGUCCUUGGAGAAGAUAAUGACGGUAACCAAGGAGGAAGCACCGGCUAAAUACGUG
rnacentral:rRNA from 1 species